AUUGAACGCUGGCGGCAUGCCUUACACAUGCAAGUCGAACGGCAGCACGGGAGCAAUCCUGGUGGCGAGUGGCGAACGGGUGAGUAAAGUAUCGGAACGUGCCCAGUCGUGGGGGAUAACGUAGCGAAAGUUACGCUAAUACCGCAUACGAUCUAUGGAUGAAAGCGGGGGAUCGCAAGACCUCGCGCGAUUGGAGCGGCCGAUAUCAGAUUAGGUAGUUGGUGGGGUAAAGGCUCACCAAGCCGACGAUCUGUAGCUGGUCUGAGAGGACGACCAGCCACACUGGGACUGAGACACGGCCCAGACUCCUACGGGAGGCAGCAGUGGGGAAUUUUGGACAAUGGGCGAAAGCCUGAUCCAGCCAUGCCGCGUGCAGGAUGAAGGCCUUCGGGUUGUAAACUGCUUUUGUACGGAACGAAAAGGUUUGGCCUAAUAAGCUGAGCUCAUGACGGUACCGGAAAAAUAAGGACCGGCUAACUACGUGCCAGCAGCCGCCGUAA
rnacentral:rRNA from 1 species